GGAGAGGUGGCAGAGUUGGUCGAUCGCGUUGCACUCGAAAUGCAAAGUACCUGUUAAAGGGUACCGUGGGUUCGAAUCCCACCCUCUCCGCCA
rnacentral:tRNA from 1 species